rnacentral:lncRNA from 1 species
UGUUAGCAAUAAAUCAUAUAAAUAAACAAUAAAUCUAUUAAUUCAAUUAAAGGAAAAUCUUAAAGGGAAUAAUAUACAUGCAUAUUAUUCGGCAUCCAAAUAAUUCUAUUUCAAUGCAAGAUAAAUCUAUUCUAGCACAAAAUAAAUCUAUGUAUUUAAUAAAUUUAUAUUAUAGAAUUUCAAAUCCUACAAAUCUACUAAUAUUAAAUUAAAAAUAAAAGUAGAAGAAAGUAGCCUGAUUGAAGGCAGGUCGAAGCGCGUAGACGCUGUCCCAAAGAAGUAUUUGCCCCNNNNNNNNNNNNNNNNNNNNUUUUCAAACGCGUCCGUUUUCAAAUGCGUAACGCCCGCUGGGCGUUACCUUUUUCUCAAACGCGCACGCGGCCCGAGAUUUUGGCCGCGUGCGCAUUUAAGGUUUUUUUUUCAACAAUCCCCCAAAAAAAAAACUUAAAUAAUUUUAAAAUCAAAAUAAAAUGCUGGAUAUCUUAUAUUAUGUAAUAGGUGUAGGUACCUUUCGGUUUGAACCUUCACUUAGUGACAAUUGAUUACAUCUGUGGAGCCAAGGUGGUCUUAACCUUGAACCUCAGUCCAUGGCUCAGAUUAAAUCAACAGCACACAUAAUAUAGCCCGAUCUGGGUUCUAAGCGGGUUGCGCUGUUAUGGCCAUGCGCAGAUAUCUAUUAUGUGCUUUUUAGGCAAUCGCCCAUUUUCCAUAAUCGCGGCCUCACGACUGCACAUAUAGGUGAGUCCUAAUAAGGAAGCUAGCAAGGAAGCUCCUGCCACUUGGGUCUCGGACUCAUUAAGAGUUAUACAAACGAACUCAUCCUACCGCUUGCUUUUAUGAGCACUAGUGCCAUAGGGAUGAGGAAAACAUGAAAUAGUGCUCCUCUUAGUCACACUCCGGUUUGUUUCUACCCAUUGAACCUUUUAAGGUUGGGUUCCCACCGUGGUGAUCUAUCUUUAUGGGCUAAGCCCCAUCCCCCUCGACGACUC